GAUGAACGCUGGCGGCGUGCCUAAUACAUGCAAGUCGAGCGAACGGACGAGAAGCUUGCUUCUCUGAUGUUAGCGGCGGACGGGUGAGUAACACGUGGAUAACCUACCUAUAAGACUGGGAUAACUUCGGGAAACCGGAGCUAAUACCGGAUAAUAUUUUGAACCGCAUGGUUCAAAAGUGAAAGACGGUCUUGCUGUCACUUAUAGAUGGAUCCGCGCUGCAUUAGCUAGUUGGUAAGGUAACGGCUUACCAAGGCAACGAUGCAUAGCCGACCUGAGAGAGUGAACGGCCACACUGGAACUGAGACACAGUCCAGACUCCUACGGGAGGCAGCAGUAGGGAAUCUUCCGCAAUGGGCGAAAGCCUGACGGAGCAACGCCGCGUGAGUGAAGAAGGUCUUCGGAUCGUAAAACUCUGUUAUUAGGGAAGAACAUAUGUGUAAGUAACUGUGCACAUCUUGACGGUACCUAAUCAGAAAGCCACGGCUAACUACGUG
rnacentral:rRNA from 1 species